GCCAGUAGCCAUAUCAACCCUGCAGCUCACAACUGCCAACCCUCUGAAGCUCAGCAGGUGUGAGCCUGGUCAGUAGCUGGAUGGGAGACCUCCUGGGGAAAAACUAUGGUUGCCGCUGGAA
rnacentral:rRNA from 1 species